AGCCCCGUGGUGUAGCGGUCCAGCAUGCAGGCCUUUGGAGCCUGUGACCCAGGUUCGAAUCCGGGCGGGGCUACCA
rnacentral:tRNA from 1 species